AAAGGGAUGACAGAGGACCAGAUGUUUGGAUGGCAUCACCGACUCAAUGGACAUAAGUUUAAGCAAGCUCUGGGAGAUGGUAAAGGACAGGGAGGCCUGGCAUGCUGCAGUCCGUGGGGUCACAAAGAGCUGGACAUGACUGAGCGGCUGAACAACCGCAAAUCAUCCCUGACAGAUAGCAGCCCUUGUCUAUGUGCAGACAUGAGAUUUUUGCAAUCAGUGAAGAUAUGGUUUUGUGUCAAGACUUUACCACACACAGUUUACUUUGCUGACAGAUUCUCCAAACUUCCAACACAAACAGAACAGUGUUUUCCUGCCUCUGGAGUCCUUGAGCAAUGUUUGGCUGAGAGACCCACGAGAGGAGUGUUACAAGUGUGAUCUCGGCAGGCUGGGUGCCUAGGACUGCCUCCUUCCUGCACCCGCUCUCCAGCCUGGGCCCACGGCCAAGAGCACCAGAGUUCACCAGAAAGACAAACACUGAGACGCUCCCCAAACACUUGGACUUUAAUUUGCUUCAUGAAAUGCCAGGUUAUUUUCUUUUUCUGGCAGAAUUGGUUGCGCCUCCUCCAAUCUCACAGUCCUGCUCCUGGUAGCAGUUUUCUCGGAAUCUCACCAGUUCAAUUUCAUCUAUCUAUCUAUCUAUCUAUGCAUGCUGUGGUUGUAUCUGCUGCUGCUGCUCCUAAGUCACUUCAGUCGUGUCCGACUCUGUGCGACCCUAUAGAUGGCAGCUCACCAGGCUCCCCCAUCCCUGGGAUUCUCCAGGCAAGAAUACUGGAGUGGGUUGCCAUUUCCUUCUCCAAUGCAUGAAAGUAAAAAGUGAAAGUGAAGUAGCUCAGUCAUGCCUGACUCAGCGACCCCAUGGACUGAAGCCACCAGGAUCCUCCAUCCAUGGGAUUUUCCAGAGUGCAUCAGGUGGAAUGCUGGGCUGGAUGACUCACAAGCCAGAAUCAACAUUGCCAGGAAAAAUAUCAACAACCUCAGAUAAGCAGAUGAUAAUACCACUUUAAUGGCAGAAAGUAAAGAGGAACCAAAGAGCCUCCUGAUGAAGGUGAAAGAGGAGAGUGAAAAAGCUGGCUUUAAAUUCAGCAUUCAAAAAAUAAAAAUCAUGGCAUCCGCUCUCAUGACUUCAUAGCAAAUAGAUGGGCAAAAAGUGAAAACAAUGAUAGAUUCCAUUUUCUUGGGCUCCAAAAUCACUUUGAAUGGUGACUGCAGCCACAAAAUAUAAAGAUUCUUGCUCCUUUUAAGAAAGGCUAUGACAAACCCAGACAGCGUAUUAAAAAGCAGAGACAUUACAUUACCGACAAAGGUCUGUCUAGUCAAAUCUGUGGUCUUUCCAGUAGUCAUGUAUGAAUAUGGGAGUUGGACCAUAAAGAAAGCUGAGCACCGAAGAAUUAAUGCUUUUGAGCUGUGGUGAUGGAGAAGACUCUUGAGAGUCCCUUGGACUGCAAGGAGAUUCAACCAGUCCAUCCUAAAGGAAAUCAGUCCUGAAUAUUCAUUGGAAGGACUGAUGCUGAAGCUGAAACUCCAAUUCUUUGGCCACCUGAUGCGAAGAACUGACUCAUUAGCAAAGACCCUGGUGCUGGGAAAGAUUGAAGGCAGGAGGAGAAGGGGACGACAGAGGAUGAGAUGGGAGGAUAGCAUCACUGACUCCAUGGACAUGAGUUUGAGUAAGCUCCGGGAGUUGGUGAUGGACAGGGAAGCCAGGUGUGCUGCAGUCCAUGGGGUCGCAAAGAGUCAGAUAUGACUUAGUGACUGAACAGAAACAAUAUACUAUAUUAUUUAUUUGCUCUGCUUCCUGUCCAUUGUCCCUCCAUCUCUCAGUUCCCAGCUAUGUUUUGUUGACUUUUGUUUCCUAGUGUCUUGAGCAGUCUUGCGAACUUAGUAGGCACUGAAUAAAUAUUACAUGAAUGAAU
ensembl:lncRNA